UGGGAGAGGAGAUACACAUGUUUAUUUGGUGUGAAAGCUCAAUAUUUUUCUUUUUGAUUGUAUUUGUAUAGGGUUUGUAAUGUUAUGUUUUGUAAAUAAAAAAUUAUCGACACGUUUCAUUAAUAUUUAUUCUUAAUAUGUAUAUAUACGUAGUUGGCCCCUAUUGCUUUGACCCGAAAUUUGCACAAGCCUACUUCUCUUCAACUCAAAAAAGCAAAAAAAAAAAAAAUCAAGAUUUUCACAAAAGAAUUCAAAAUAAACACUAAUUUUCCAUAAAUAACUUCACUUCUUUCAAAAAAAAAAAAAAAAUAAUAAAAAAGAACAUACACACAAACAAACAAUAGAAAACAAAAAUAAGUGACCCAACAAAUCCAAUACGGGAUGUUUCUUCAUCUUUCCAUCCUGUCAUCGACCUUUUCAUAAAUAUUAGAUCAAAAAUCUCAUACCAAGAAACCAAACAAUCUUAACAAAAAUUUCAUCAAUCAACCAAAAAGGGUCAAAAUUUCAAUUCUUGAUAAAGAUUGAAUUUUUUAGCUAUAUACUAAUCAGUGGGGUUCACAAUCACACACAUGUACAUUAUUUCUAGCUUCUUUAAAUUAGUCCAGAUGAGAAGCUGCUAAGGGGGGUGACAAAAGGAUGUAUCAGUGGAGAAAGUUUGAAUUUUUUGAGGAGAAAUUUUCUGGGAAAGUAGCAAAUGAUAUAACUGGUAAGAUCCAAUGUUGUUCAAGUGGUAAAGGAAGGAUUGUGUUGGGUUGUGAUGAAGGCUUUUGAACAGCUUCAGCUUGCUUAGCCCCCUCAGUGUACUUGUUCUUCUUGCUAAGGAUGUCCCCGACAGCUUGACGACUACUAAUUGAAAAUUUCUGUUUCAGUUGUUCAUGUGUGAUUUUUGGAUUGUCCUCUUUGUAUUGACACAAUGCCAUUUUUGUUUCUAGAGAAAUAACUUGACGUUUAGACCCCAUAUUGCGUGAAUAAAGAAUAUGUGAUGGA